rnacentral:rRNA from 1 species
AGUGAACGCUGGCGGUAGGCCUAACACAUGCAAGUCGAACGGCAGCACAGUAAGAGCUUGCUCUUACGGGUGGCGAGUGGCGGACGGGUGAGGAAUACAUCGGAAUCUACUUUUUCGUGGGGGAUAACGUAGGGAAACUUACGCUAAUACCGCAUACGACCUACGGGUGAAAGCAGGGGAUCUUCGGACCUUGCGCGAUUGAAUGAGCCGAUGUCGGAUUAGCUAGUUGGCGGGGUAAAGGCCCACCAAGGCGACGAUCCGUAGCUGGUCUGAGAGGAUGAUCAGCCACACUGGAAAUGAGACACGGUCCAGACUCCUACGGGAGGCAGCAGUGGGGAAUAUUGGACAAUGGGCGCAAGCCUGAUCCAGCCAUACCGCGUGGGUGAAGAAGGCCUUCGGGUUGUAAAGACCUUUUGUUGGGAAAGAAAAGCAGCAGGUUAAUACCCCGCUGUUCUGACGGUACCCAAAGAAUAAGCACCGGCUAACUUCGUG